rnacentral:rRNA from 1 species
GACCUCAAAUCAGGUAGGACUACCCGCUGAACUUAAGCAUAUCAAUAAGCGGAGGAAAAGAAACUAACAAGGAUUCCCCUAGUAACUGCGAGUGAAGCGGGAAAAGCUCAAAUUUAAAAGCUGGCAGUCUUUGAUUGUCCGCGUUGUAAUCUAGAGAAGUGUUACCCGCGUUGGACCGUGUACAAGUCUCCUGGAAUGGAGCGUCAUAGAGGGUGACAAUCCCGUCUUUGACACGGACUCCCAAGGCUUUGUGGUGCGCUCUCAAAGAGUCGCGUUGUUUGGGAAUGCAGCGCAAAAUGGGUGGKAAAUUCCAUCUAAAGCUAAAUAUUGGCGAGAGACCGAUAGCGAACAAGUACCGUGAGGGAAAGAUGAAAAGAACUUUGGAAAGAGAGUUAAACAGUACGUGAAAUUGCUGAAAGGGAAACGCUUGAAGUCAGUCGCGUUUGCUAGAGAUCAACCUUGCUUUUGCUGGGCGUACUCUCUAGCUGACGGGCCAGCAUCAGUUUUGACCAUUGGAAAAGGGCAGAGGGAAUGUGGCAUCUUCGGAUGUGUUAUAGCCUUCUGUCGUAUACAGUGGUUGGGACUGAGGAACUCAGCACGCCGCAAGGCGGGGAUUCGUCCACCUUCGUGCUUAGGAUGCUGGCAUAAUGGCUUUAAUCGACCCGUCUNGAAACACGGACCAAGGAGUCUAACAUGCCUGCGAGUGUUUGGGUGGUAAACCCGAGCGCGUAAUGAAAGUGAAAGUUGAGAUCCCCUGUCGUGGGGAGCAUCGACGCCCGGACCAGACCUUUUGUGACGGAUCUGCGGUAGAGCAUGUAUGUUGGGACCCGAAAGAUGGUGAACUAUGCCUGAAUAGGGUGAAGCCAGAGGAAACUCUGGUGGAGGCUCGUAGCGAUUCUGACGUGCAAAUCGAUCGUCAAAUUUGGGUAUAGGGGCGAAAGACUAAUCGAACCAUCU